rfam:Megasphaera micronuciformis F0359 genomic scaffold Scfld14, whole genome shotgun sequence.
UGCUUAUCCAGAGUGGCGGAGGGACUGGCCCGAUGAAACCCGGCAACCGUUAACACGGUGCUAAUUCCUGCGGAUAUUUUCCGAGAGAUAAGGG